rnacentral:rRNA from 1 species
GAUGAACGCUGGCGGCGUGCCUAAUACAUGCAAGUCGAGCGAACAGACGAGGAGCUUGCUCCUCUGACGUUAGCGGCGGACGGGUGAGUAACACGUGGAUAACCUACCUAUAAGACUGGGAUAACUUCGGGAAACCGGAGCUAAUACCGGAUAAUAUAUUGAACCGCAUGGUUCAAUAGUGAAAGACGGUUUUGCUGUCACUUAUAGAUGGAUCCGCGCCGCAUUAGCUAGUUGGUAAGGUAACGGCUUACCAAGGCGACGAUGCGUAGCCGACCUGAGAGGGUGAUCGGCCACACUGGAACUGAGACACGGUCCAGACUCCUACGGGAGGCAGCAGUAGGGAAUCUUCCGCAAUGGGCGAAAGCCUGACGGAGCAACGCCGCGUGAGUGAUGAAGGUCAUCGGAUCGUAAAACUCUGUUAUUAGGGAAGAACAAAUGUGUAAGUAACUAUGCACGUCUUGACGGUACCUAAUCAGAAAGCCACGGCUAACUACGUG